rnacentral:tRNA from 1 species
GUAACUAUAGUUUAAUAAAAACAUUAGAUUGUGAAUCUAAUAAUAGAAGCUCAUAACUUCUUAGCUACC